rnacentral:ribozyme from 1 species
UGCCCAGCAACUCCUAUCCCUACCUCCUCGCGGUACUGGCCGGGGUACGAGUAACCUUAGGGGAGGUCGGGUAACCAACCCCCGGUGGGAACUUUGGUCGUAUGCUGACAGGGAAGG